CCUACGGGAGGCAGCAGUAGGGAAUCUUCCACAAUGGGCGAAAGCCUGAUGGAGCAACGCCGCGUGGGUGAAGAAGGUCUUCGGAUCGUAAAACCCUGUUGUUAGAGAAGAAAGUGCGUGAGAGUAACUGUUCACGUUUCGACGGUAUCUAACCAGAAAGCCACGGCUAACUACGUGCCAGCAGCCGCGGUAAUACGUAGGUGGCAGGCGUUAUCCGGAUUUAUUGGGCGUAAGGGGAACGCGGGCGGUCUUUUAAGUCUGAGGUGAAAGCCUUCGGCUUAACCGGAGUAGGGCAUUGGAAACUGGGAGACUUGAGUGCAGAAGAGGAGAGUGGAACUCCAGGG
rnacentral:rRNA from 1 species